rnacentral:rRNA from 1 species
GAAGGCGGGGAUGACGUCAAAUCAUCAUGCCCCUUAUGACCUGGGCUACACACGUACUACAAUGGCCGGUACAACGGGCCGCGAAGCCGCGAGGCGGAGCCAAUCCUUAAAAGCCGGUCUCAGUUCGGAUUGCAGGCUGCAACUCGCCUGCAUGAAGUCGGAAUUGCUAGUAAUCGCGGAUCAGCAUGCCGCGGUGAAUACGUUCCCGGGUCUUGUACACACCGCCCGUCACACCACGAGAGUUUACAACACCCGAAGUCGGUGGGGUAACCCGCAAGGGAGCCAGCCGCCGAAGGUGGGGUAGAUGAUUG